AAUACCGGAUAUGACCAUCUUGGGCAUCCUUGAUGGUGUAAAGCUCCGGCGGUGCAGGAUGAGCCCGCGGCCUAUCAGCUUGUUGGUGAGGUAAUGGCUCACCAAGGCGACGACGGGUAGCCGGCCUGAGAGGGCGACCGGCCACACUGGGACUGAGACACGGCCCAGACUCCUACGGGAGGCAGCAGUGGGGAAUAUUGCACAAUGGGCGAAAGCCUGAUGCAGCGACGCCGCGUGAGGGAUGACGGCCUUCGGGUUGUAAACCUCUUUCAGCAGGGAAGAAGCGAAAGUGACGGUACCUGCAGAAGAAGCGCCGGCUAACUACGUGCCAGCAGCCGCGGUAAUACGUAGGGCGCAAGCGUUGUCCGGAAUUAUUGGGCGUAAAGAGCUCGUAGGCGGCUUGUCACGUCGAUUGUGAAAGCUCGGGGCUUAACCCCGAGUCUGCAGUCGAUACGGGCUAGCUAGAGUGUGGUAGGGGAGAUCGGAAUUCCUGGUGUAGCGGUGAAAUGCGCAGAUAUCAGGAGGAACACCGGUGGCGAAGGCGGAUCUCUGGGCCAUUACUGACGCUGAGGAGCGAAAGCGUGNGGAGCGAAC
rnacentral:rRNA from 1 species